rnacentral:lncRNA from 1 species
GGGUUUAAUCAAAUUACUUAAAAAGUCUAACACUUGUACCAGAUUUAUAAGACUGUCACCAUGUUAGAUGAAUUGCUAGGGUCACAAAAGUAGGAUUUUGAACUGCUGUUUUACAGCUUGACGUGCCUGGCUCGCUAACGCAGACGGCUUGAAUGGAGAGGCCCCGAGGGCGCACCCGGCUCCUCUGCGAGCUGCAGCUGGACGAUGCUAAAGAUGGAAAACGGCUGGUCCUCUGCAGACGCCCUUUUGCAGUUUCAGUGAGUUCCUCAGUGACAGGAGCCAGCCUGCCAAAAUGUCAGCAGCAGGACCCGGUCCAAGCCCGGGUCCUCUUGAGAUCCUCUGCCCACUUCUAUCAGCAAACAUCUAGGAAACACAUUAUGAACUGGUCGUAGCUACAACCUCAGAGCGGUC